GGGGUGACGUGGCGGGGGGGAGCGCCCCACGCGCGGUCCCACGUGGGCAAAGGGAGGCAGCCACGCGUGUCCGUGUCGGUGUCGUGCGCCCGCUGCCCUCAUCCCCAUCAGUGUCCCUAUUGGGGACACCCACGCAGGACGCCGUCGGCCCUCAGCCCAUCCCAUUCCCCUUCCCCGUAUCCCUUCCCCGUAUCCCCACGGCACCCACGCGUGUCCACCCCCCCAUAUGUCCCCCACGUGUGUCCCAUCCCCGCGUGGGGGCACUCAUACCGGACACCCCCCUCCGUCCCAGCGCCCACCCUAACCCUGACCCCCUCCCCCACUGCACCCUGUACCUCCAUAUCCCUCUGCCCACACCAACGCGUGGGGGGCACCCAGGCCGGACAGCGCCCACCCGUGUCGUCCGUGUCCCCCCCGCCCCCCCCCCCCCCCCGGAAUCAGACGCGGACGCUGCGUGGAGUUGAAGCAGAGCUUGUUUAAUUUUUAUACAUUUUUUUUUCGUCUUUUUUUUUUUUUCUUUUCUGUUUUUUUUUUUUUUUGCUUUUUUUUCCGGCUUUUUAUUAAUUUUUUUUAAUUAUUAUUAUUAAUAUUUUUUCCUCUCCUUUUUUUUUUUCCUCCUUUUUUUUUUUGUUUUUUGUUUUUUUUUUUUUGCAUAGGGGAGGAUCGCUUCGGGGGGGGCGGGAGGGGAGGGGGGGGGGGGGCAAAUAAAAACAACCCCAUAAUAACAAUCCUCAAAUCAGCGAGAAAGAAAGAAAAAUCAAAACCCAUUGUCAUGUAAGGAGGGGGGGGUUUGCAUACAUACAAUGGGGGUUUCCAUGGCUGAAGCUCCGCGGGGGGGGGGGGGGGGGGCAUGCAGGGGGCGCGGGGGGGGGGGGCAAUAUGCAUUGCAAUGGAGGUUGCAACACAGGUUGCAGCGUAUCCUGCAGUGUGCAUCCGUGGCACUGUGGGUGGCAAUGGGAGCUGCAGCAGAAAUCCUGGUGUGGAGUUUGCAGCGUGAAUUGCAGCCCGAACUGCGAUGGAGUUUUGUUAUGCGGGGGGGGGAGGGGGGGGGGGGGCAAUGGGGGACGGAGCUGCGAUUGCAAUGUGAAAGCAGCGUAAACUGCAGCGUGCAUUCCAAUGCAAAUCGCGCCGUGAUUGGCAGUGUUGCAAUGCAGACUGCUGUGUGAAGUGCGUGGGGAGCUGCAGGACGAACUGCAACGCAAAGAGCAGCACUGCAGCGCGAAGGUGUGGUGCAAACUGCAGUGCUGAGCUGCAAUAGGGACUGCAUUGUGGGUCACAAUAGGAGUGGGGCAGCAGAAACGAACUGCAAGACUGAUGGUGAUAUAAACUGCAUCCUGAGCUGCAAUAUAAACGGUGGGCUGAGUUGCAAAGUGAGCUGCAGUAUAAAUCGCAAUAUGGGCUGCAUUGUGAGUGGCAGAAUGAACUGCACUGUGAGCUCCAAUAUGAGCUGCACUAUGAAUUGCAUCAUGGGCUGCAAUAUGAAUCCCAGCGUGAGCUGCAAUAUAAGCUGUGGUCUGAGCUGCAAUAUAAACUGCAAUGUGAGCUGCAAUGUGAGUGGCGGUAUAAACUGCAGUAUGAGCUCCAAAUACGAGUUGCAAUAUAAACUGCAAUAUAAGUUGCAAUAUGAGCUGCAAUAUGAAUCCCAAUGUGAGCUCCAAUUCAAACUGCAAUUCGAGUUGCAAUAUGAGCUGCAAUAGACAUUUCAAUAUGAGCUGCAAUGUAAAUUGCAAUGUGAGCUGCAAUAUAAAUCGGAACAUGAGCUCCAAUGUGAGCUGCAAUAUAAGCUGCAAUGUGAGCUGCAAGAUGAGCUGCAAUAUAAAUGGCCAUAUGGGCUGCAAUGUGAGUGGCAGUAUAAACUGCAACCUGAGCUGCAGUCAGCUGCAAUAUCAAUUGCAACGUGAGCUCCAAUAUGAGCUGCAAUGUAAACUGCAGUAUGAGCUGCAAUAUAAACUGCAGUGCGAGAUGCAAUAUAAAGUGCAGCACGGGUUGCAAUACAAAUCGCAACGUGAGCUGCAGUCAGUUGCAAUAUAAAUUGCAAUGGGGGCUGCAAUGUGGGCUGCACUAUGAAUCCCGAUGCGCGCUGCAGUGGAAGCUGCAAUUUGAGUCGCGAGAUGAGCUGCAAUGAGUUGCGAUGCAAACCGCAGCCCGUGCUGCAAUGCAAACGGCAGCGUGGGCUGCAAUGUAAACUGCAACACGAGCUGCAAGGUGAGCUGCAAUAGGAGCUGCAAUAGGAGCCGCCAUACAGACAGCGGCAUAAACGGAGCUGCACCCCCCCCACAGCCCCCCCCCCAUCUGCAAUGGGGGGGUCCUGGAGGGGGGGGGGGGGGGGCGGUGUUGGGGGUCCGGCCCUGAGCACGGCGGGGGGCAGCGAGGCACUGCGUGGCAUUUUUGGUAUCGCUGUCAUUGGCCGCCGGCCGCCCGCGCUCGGGGCCUUCGUGUCCCCCUUAUUUCUCCCCCCCCCCCCGACAUAUUUUGCCCCCCCCCCACCCCCCCAUCGUUAUCCCAACAGGGAAAAAAAGAGACGAGAAAAGAAAAAGAACAAAAAAGCCCAAUGGAUGCCUGCAGGGGAAGCGCCCAUCCGCACCGCGUACCGAGCGUGGGACCCCCCCGCCCCCCCAGGGGUACAUAGCAGAGAUACACACAGCCAUCGGACGCGGCCGUUACCGGGGGGGGGAUAUUGGGGGGGGGGGGGGUUGUCUUUUAUUUUACUGUUUUAUGGGUUUUUUUUUUCCCCUCUGUUUGUUCUCUUUUUGUUUUAAUGCCAUUUGGGGGGGGGUUGGAUUUUGCUUCUCUCUUUCCCACCCAAACGUGGCCCCUCCCGGGGCUGUAGUGCAUGAGAGCGAUGCUGGGGGGGGGGGGGGCAGCCCAUUAAGUGUGUGUGUGUCACCCCCCCCCCCCCCCCACACACACACGAAGUGCCCCCCCCACAAAGAGCUGAUUGAGGGUCCGCCCCCCCCCAAACAAAUCACUGCGCUCCACUCCGCCAAAUCACUGCCAGUGACUGCGGGGGGGGAACGGAGCAGCGCAGCAACGCAGCAAUGCAGCCAAUGGAGCAGUGCAGCAAUGCCCCCCCCCGCACCGGGCACCCCCCCAUCAAACCCCCCCACGCGGACCCCUUUUUGGGAGGUGGGGGUUUUGCAUAUUCCCUUACCGGGUGGGGGGGGCGCAGAGCAGUGCAAACGGUGCUCCUUCAACCCCCCCCCCCCCCAACCCGGAAGCCCCCAAAUUAUGGGGGGGGGGGGGGGCAGGAGGGGGGGGUGCCAUCGUUUUAUGUCUUCUUACUUUUUUUUUUGCCUUUUUAGAACGUUUUUAAGGUGCUUUUCUUGCCGAGGGCGGGUUCUGGUUGAUGAUGGGGGGGGGGGGGGGGGGGGGAGGGGGGGGCGCUGUGCCCCCCCCCCCAUCCCCACCCCCAGGAGGCGAAGGCAGCGGUGGAGCGGGGGGGGCCCACGCGUGGGGUGGGAGCAGGGAAAGGGGGGGGGGGGAGGGGGGGUCAGCCCGGCCCGAGGGGCGCCUGCGCUCCCCCCACCCCCAGAACCCCAAAUCGGGGCGGCGGGGGGGGGGGGUCCGGCCGGGGGGUGGGGGAGGGGUUGGGGGGGGGGCACUCAGGAAUGAUUAUUCAUUUUGUCAUUUCUUCCCCCCCCCCCCGCAGGUUUUCAAACCAUUCCUGAUUUUACACCAUUUAUUCCCCCCCCCAAAAAAAAAAAAGCAAUUCUUUUUUUUUCUCUCAUCCCGAUUCCCUCUCCGGGACCCCCCCCCCAAAUUAACCCCCCCCCCCAUCGGUGUCACAACCCGCGUCGGUCCUCAGCCGCGUGGUUUUAAGGCAAAGUCCGGAUUUGUUUUAUGGGGUUUCUUUUUUUUUGGGGGGGGGGGGGGGGAAUUCCCGGUCAGAGGGGACGGACUGCGUCCCACUGCGGGGGGGGGGGGGAGGGGGGGCACAAUACAUUCACACGGUUUAAAUCCUGCACCGAGAGCCCCCCCCGCUCAUAGUGUGUAUGUGGGGGGGGGGGGUACACCAUGACCCCCCUACACCCAAACGCUGGGUGAUAUUUGGGGGGGAGGGGGGGGGGUUCUCCCGGUUCCUCCCCCCCCACCCUCGCCCUCCCCCCCCCCGCCUUUGGUUGCUUAAAAGCGAAAGAUUAAUAAUAAUAAUAAUUAAAAAAAAAAUUACAAAAGAAACAAACAACCCCCCCCCCCCCCC
ensembl:lncRNA